rnacentral:rRNA from 1 species
GGGAAAAGAAACUAACUAGGAUUCCCUUAGUAACGGCGAGUGAACCGGGAUGAGCUCAAAUUUGAAAUCUGGCGUCUUUCAGGCGUCCCGAGUUGUAAUCUAUAGAGGCGUUUUCCGCGCCGGACCGCGUCCAAGUCUCUUGGAAUAGAGUAUCAAAGAGGGUGACAAUCCCGUACUUGACGCGACAACCGGUGCUCUGUGAUACGUUCUCAAUGAGUCGAGUUGUUUGGGAAUGCAGCUCUAAAUGGGUGGUAAAUUCCAUCUAAGGCUAAAUAUUGGCGAGAGACCGAUAGCGAACAAGUACCGUGAGGGAAAGAUGAAAAGCACUUUGGAAAGAGAGUUAAACAGCACGUGAAAUUGUUAAAAGGGAAACGAUUGAAGUCAGUCGUGUGGGAAGUAUUCAGCCGUCUCUGGCGGUGUAUUUGCUUCUCACGGGUCAACAUCAGUUUGAUCCGGUAGAAAAAGGCGGGAAGAAGGUGGCACCCUCGGGUGUGUUAUAGCUUCCUGUCAUAUGUGCCGGACCAGACUGAGGAACACCCUAGCACCAAUGUCAGCGUUCCCCCACUUACUCGCUUAUGAUGUUGACAUCCUGGCU